UGUACCUAUACAAAUUAAUUAAUACUUAGUUUUACUAAUCUUAUAAGGAUUAAAGCAGCAUUAUGUCUGAUGACGCCGAUGUAGAAAAGAUAUUGGUUGUUAUUAAUCAUUUUCAAAAGGUUUUGGAUACCUUAAAAGAUAUUGAUAAUGUAGAAUUCGUUAUUAAUAAAUUAGGUUUGGAAAAGAAACAGGAAUUAUUAAAACAAAUUGAUAAUAUCGCUAACGAGUGCUCUUUAAAAAUCUACAACAUAAAU